rnacentral:rRNA from 1 species
CCGGACCGGCGCACGGGUGAGUAACACGUAUGCGACCUGCCCCCGCCAGGGGGAGUAACCGGGAGAAAUCCCGACUAAUACCGCGUAACGCCGCGGACCUGCAUGGAUCUGCGGCCAAAGGAAAGCGAUUCCGGCGGGGGAGUGGGCAUGCGGCGCAUUAGCUAGUCGGCGGGGUAACGGCCCACCGAGGCGACGAUGCGUAGGGGUUCGUGAGAGGAAGGUCCCCCACCACUGGUACUGAGACACGGACCAGACUCCUACGGAAGGCAGCAG